GAUAAAUUAGAAAGAAGGAGAGAGAGUAGUGAUGAAACUCUUGGAGUUUGGUUUGGGUGAUAGUACAUAAAGAUAGGUAGAUGGGUUGUCUUGCCAAUUUAUUUUAAGGACUCUCAUUAUCGAGAUGCGUCUCAUGAAUGCUUUGAAAUGAAAUUAAUGGUACCUUCGUCCAUUCCUCCCUCCCUUGGGCUUUUAUUAGCUCUUGGAUGGCUUGUAUUGCUUGGUACGUAGUUUUUCCUGAAUUUGUGAGGCUGCUUUUGUUUGCUUUGCGUGUCUUCAUUUUGCAGAUUUGGAAGUUCCUGCUUUUUGUUUUCUACUUGGUGACGACAAGGUGGGAGAGCAACUUAUGUAUUUCCUUUUGUGUGUAUCAACUCUUUUUAACUUGAUAUAUCUCCAACAAGCCUUGAAAUCUUAGCAUGCCAUCGGAUUCUAAGCAAAAGUUAUGGUGGCCAACCGAAAAUGGAAGGAAAACAAAGGUGGUGAAGACACACGGAUGAAACGAAGGAUGUAAGGGAAGCCCAUCUGGUAGUGGCUGCCCUCAUAGCAACUGUAACAUUCGCAGCAGGUUUCACCAUUCCUGGGGGUUACCUAAGUGAGAAGGGUUUUGCAGUUUUAUCAAGAAAUGCGGCUUUCAAUGCCUUUGUAUCCGAUACACUAGCCUUGUGUAUGUCCAGUUUCUCUGUCUUAAUGCGCCUUUACGUAUCGAUGCACACAAAGCGAUGUGAAAAGGAAUUUCCACAGCAUUUGACGUGGUGUUGUAUAUCACCAUGUCAGCUUUAAUUGCAAUGGUGGUUGCAUUCAUUGCAGGGGCAUAUGCAGUAUUAGGUCAUUCUCUAAUACUUGCCUUAGAAGUGGCUUCUGUGCUUGGUUGUAGUUUCUUCUUUAUCUUAACUCAUACUGCACUUUCUGAAGUUUCCCCUUCCUAUCAAAGGCUUCAACAAUUCCUAGAACAGUUAUUACAACAUAUUUAUGGUCGCGAGGCCAUGUUAUUUAUUUCUAUAAUUACUGGAUUUUGCAAGUU